GUCCAGACUGCUGCUGGCUCUGUCCCUGAUCUGCCUGCUUGGCUGACAUCAUCAAAAGUGAUGUUCUGAGUCAAUCACAAUGCUUUCAAAUACGAAAGCAUUGGAUUGGUUGAGUGUCAAGGAGGCAGAUCAUGGACAGAGCCAGCACAAGCCAAACACAGUCCUUUACAUGCAUUUCUAUGAGGAAAGUUCAGUGUCUCUAUGCAGAG